CGUAGGGUGCGAGCGUUAAUCGGAAUUACUGGGCGUAAAGUGUGCGCAGGCGGCUGAGCAAGUCGAGUGUGAAAUCCCCGGGCUUAACUUGGGAAUGGCGCUCGAAACUACUUGGCUGGAGUGUGGCAGAGGGGGGUGGAAUUCCACGUGUAGCGGUGAAAUGCGUAGAGAUGUGGAGGAACACCAAUGGCGAAGGCAGCCCCCUGGGCCAACACUGACGCUCAUGCACGAAAGCGUGGGGAGCAAACAGGAUUAGAUACCCUGGUAGUCCACGCCCUAAACGAUGUCAACUAGGUGUUGGGAGGGUAAAACCUUUUAGUACCGGAGCUAACGCGUGAAGUUGACCGCCUGGGGAGUACGGCCGCAAGGUUA
rnacentral:rRNA from 1 species